AAAAUAUUGAUUUUAACCCAAGUUAUGGUCAUUUAAAGUUGGUGGCCUAGAAACUCACGAUCAUAGUUUUCUAGGCCACAAACUUCAAACUGCUGUAACUUCGCUUAAAA
ensembl:ncRNA F11A6.10 ncRNA